GUAUUUGAAUUUAUAAUUUAUUUUUUGUGAAUUGAAUGAUUUUCAUGGAAUGUUGGUUUUGUUUUGCUGAAUUGGUCUAAAAUUUUUCCUUAAGUCUCUAUUUGAACAUGUUCAUGUUCUUGAAUGACAAAAUAUGCCACUAGAAAUUAAUGUUGUUUAUGAGAGUUUAGAUACUGAGAUAUUUGCUGAAUCUUUUUGCGCACACAAGUUUUGUGGUAAUAUAGUAGUUUAACACAUGUAGCUAGAGGAGUUUCUUGCUGAAGUUUUCUUGUGAGAGUUGAGCCACCUUGCACUAAAAUAGCAAUGAGUAUUCAUUGAUUUUGUGAAUUGAAAACUCUUUUGAGAAUAUAUGGUUUGUGGUAAGAUGGUAAGUUACUUAGAAAAUGAUAAAGGUCAAUUUAGGAUUAAUAUAUAAGCCUUUCAAGCCUUCUUUUUCAAUAAUUACAACCCCUAGUAGCCAUGUUGAGCCAUACAUACAUGUAUAACCUUUUCUUCAUACACCCAUGUUAUACAUACUUCUCUACAUUGGAGUAUGGUCUAUCCAUGUAUUUACACAAUCUUUUACUUCCAAGCGUGUAGUAAGUAUUAAAUGAUUAUUUGUGAAUAAUAGAAACAAGAAAAUGACAAGAGUUAGUGUAUGCUCAAGUAAAACACCCCUAAAAAAAAAACGAAAAACGAAAAAAAAAAUGAUUGAUUUUGGGGUUGAAAUAUCGAAGAG
rnacentral:lncRNA from 1 species